rnacentral:lncRNA from 1 species
AAUAAAUUUGGACAGGGCCAGUCAUCAUAAAAAGUUGCUUCUUGACACAUUACCAACCCAGGGGCCUGUUUCAACACAGGGACAUAAGUCUUCUCAGCGUGAGAACAGGAUAGUCUCAGAAUAUUCCAGGAGGCCUCGGGUUGUGUCUUCUGAAAAGGGACGAGGCUUCCUUUCCUGAGUCAUAGGGCAGACUGUCUCUGAAUUGGCAGAUCAAUACAACAAAGUUCUCUUCCCUGAACCUGGGCAAAGAGUUCAACAUAUUCUUCCCGGGGUCAUGAGGAGCUCAUCUAGUUGCUUUCUGGAAAGGCUGUGGCAAGAUUCAGCUCUUACUCCAUCAGGUAUGCUGGCUGCUGUUGGUUUGGAGGAAGUUAUACACCGAGACUAGACUGAUGGAUGGAAUUUAAUCACUCCUAAAGAGAAAGAAUCUAUGGUGCCACCUGGAGAACAGGAUUCUUGCUAUUCAAGUGGUGGAGGGUGCCAGGGUUCACACCACGCCCUGGGUGGUAAACUUCCAGACACAUUCAAGAGGUGUUUAUCUUUUGACACUUAGUGGCUCCCUACUGAGGGUAAACCAACUUAGGGAGACAGAGACUGCUGUUUGCAGUGGAGCAGGCAUGGUAACGGGGAUGACAGAGAUUUGGCCUGGGACUCGGAAGAGUGUCGAACUACCUGACCCACCGAUGUGUGUGCUUAAAACUGAGUCCUAGAUUCUGAUUGAAACCAAGU